UACGGAGGGGGCAAGCGUUGUUCGGAUUUACUGGGCGUAAAGGGUGUGUAGGCGGUUAUGUAAGUCUGGUGUGAAAUCUUCAUCGCUCAACGGGAAGAGGUCACUGGAAACUGUGUAACUCGAGUGUGGUAGAGGCAAGCGGAAUUCCUGGUGUAGCGGUGGAAUGUGUAGAUAUCAGGAAGAACAUCGGUGGCGAAGGCGGCUUGCUGGGCCAUUACUGACGCUGAGACACGAAAGCGUGGGGAGCAAACGGG
rnacentral:rRNA from 1 species